rnacentral:piRNA from 1 species
UAAUUAUGCAGUUAUUAGUCAAGUCAUCC